UACAACAUGCUCAAAAUAGAAAAUUCAAAAUUAAUUUGGUAACUACAAAGUUAUAGAAUGCUAAAUUUGAACUUUAAAUUUUUUUGUCACAAUUAUCAUAGUGACUCUAUUAAAAUAUUUUCAUUACAGAACCGUCAAGAAUUUCCGUGAUUUAUAUAUUUUUUUCAACAUGUCAAAUUCAAUGGACCAGGAAAAAAGGAUGGAGAGGAGAAAUGUUAUUUUAACUCUGCAACUUAUAAGACAAAAUUUCGUAUUAAAAUAAACAAAGUUUUAUCUUAAUCAGUUUGUUCAAAACCCACUUUUAAAAAAACAAUCAAUUUUUAGAAAGCACUGGAUUGAAACUGCAUAUAAAUUCAAUUGGAACAACAUACAAAUAUUAGAUGAGAAAUUUAUAAGAAGAAGACUAACAUCUGAAAUGAUUUAAAUAUAUAAAUGUAUAUAUAAUAGAUGAUAAAUACAGAUAUAUAAUAAAAACACUAAA